rnacentral:rRNA from 1 species
GACGGAGGGUGCUAGCGUUGUUCGGAAUUACUGGGCGUAAAGGGCGCGUAGGCGGCUACGGCAGUCGGGUGUGAAAGCCCGGGGCUCAACCCCGGAACGGCACCCGAUACUCUGUGGCUCGAGACCGGGAGAGGUGGGUGGAAUACCCAGUGUAGAGGUGAAAUUCGUAGAUAUUGGGUGGAACACCGGUGGCGAAAGCGGCUCACUGGCCCGGUUCUGACGCUGAGGCGCGAAAGCGUGGGGAGCAAACAGG